GUCGUCGGCAUGAUGUACAUUCUCUCGGCGACCAUGGCCACAACCAACUGUGCAAAGGGCGAGGACGAGACCAAGUGUGAUAUACAUGAAGACCAACGCAUCGCAUUCUACGAGCGAUGCACUUUCCAUGUGUGGGAGAAUCCCUGGCACGGUGGAUACGAGGUGCCUGCCGUUCAGUGCGUGGCCUAAGAGCAUCAAGAAGAAGAGGCUGCAUUGCUGAUGAUAAUCACUGAUGAUAAGAGUCUCUGACUCCAUCAACCUGGGCUAGUGGAUACCGAAUCAACCACAUUUCUUCACCCAUAUUCUGAAGUCCAUUACAUUUUUUGUACGUUGUUUGUUAUUCAUUACGCAAAAUUUUGAAAAAAGUUGAGUACAAGCUUUGCAAUAAAUCAUUACAUUGGAACUAGUAUAAUAAAUGACUGUUAAAACAC